GUGAAAAAGAACCUGAAACCGUGUACGUACAAGCAGUGGGAGCACCUUCGUGGUGUGACUGCGUACCUUUUGUAUAAUGGGUCAGCGACUUAUAUUCUGUAGCAAGGUUAACCGUAUAGGGGAGCCGCAGGGAAACCGAGUCUUAACUGGGCGUUAAGUUGCAGGGUAUAGACCCGAAACCCGGUGAUCUAGCCAUGGGCAGGUUGAAGGUUGGGUAACACUAACUGGAGGACCGAACCGACUAAUGUUGAAAAA
rnacentral:rRNA from 1 species